UACGUAGGGUGCAAGCGUUAAUCGGAAUUACUGGGCGUAAAGCGUGCGCAGGCGGUUCGGAAAGAGAGGUGUGAAAUCCCAGGGCUUAACCUUGGAACUGCACUUUUAACUACCGGGCUAGAGUACGUCAGAGGGGGGUAGAAUUCCACGUGUAGCAGUGAAAUGCGUAGAGAUGUGGAGGAAUACCGAUGGCGAAGGCAGCCCCCUGGGAUGAUACUGACGCUCAUGCACGAAAGCGUGGGGAGCAAACAGG
rnacentral:rRNA from 1 species